CCAAAGUGGUGGGACAGCUUGUCCACACAAAACUGUUCAGCUAUUCAUUAAUCAAAAGCAGGGUUGGUCCGUCGGUGACGACCCAGGUCGAAGCGACGACUGCUGCUCCUCUGUCCAGCUCGUCUUCUUCCUCGGGGUCGAGACUGAGCGACCAAGAUCCAAGCGACGCCUGCUGCUCUUCUCUACACCUCCUCUUCUUCCUCCGGAUCGAGAGCUUGGAUAGGGCUCCAUGGACCUGUUCGUGUCGCCGGAGGGCGAUUCAGAAAAGAGAGUAAGGAUAAGGAAAGCCCCUGCGGAGCGAGAGCUAAAUCCUAACCAGAAAAGUGCUCUUGAACUAUCGAUGAGGGCGUUCAUAAGUAAAUGAGAUGGCAAUGUAGUCAACCCAGCAGUCGGCACUUCAUUUGAUUCACUGGCAGGGUAAACCGGAGAGGGAGAAUACAAGAUCAACUAGGUGCGGCUGUGCUGCCAGGAUUAGGCUACUGAGGUCGGAUGACAAUGGAUGGUAUAUUUCAGAACACAUGCUUCUUCACAACCACUCUCUCUCAAGUACUUGCGGCGAGAAAAUGCACUGGCCUUCACACAGGCUCAUUGAUCGCUACACUAAAGAUCUUGUUAGGCAGCUGAGAGAAAACAAUGUUAGCCUUGGAAAAGUUUUUAGCAUAGUUGGUAGUUUUUUUGGAUCAGUUGACAAUGUGCCAUUUACAAAAAAGGUCAUUGAAGACGCUGUGCUGCAAGCUGAACAAAGAACAGUCUGAUUCAGAUGCCCGGAAGACAAUGGACAUACUUGCAGAGAUGAAGGCAAACGAUCAAGAAUUCAAUUAUACUGUCCAAGUUGAUGAUGAGAGCACAAUAAAAACACUUAUGUGGGUUAACGGGCGCAGUGUAGAAUAGUACAGAUGUUUCGGAGAUGUUGUGACAUCUAACUUAUAAAGGAUGAAGGGGUAGGUAGUCACAACGAAGGCAUCGAGCGCACGGUACCAUGCGAGGGAAAAAAGCCCAUCGUAUCGCGCCGCGCGUGGGGGUGCAACGCACCACGCGAAGGAAAAAAACACCGUAGCACGUGAGGUAGAGAGCGGCGCCCCAAUCCACAGCCCCGCACCCCUCGCUCCUCCCUCCCUCCCUCCCUCGUCCUCACCCGCCGCCGCUCCCUAACCCUAGCCCCAAUCCACAGCCCCGCGCCCCUCGCUACUCCCUCCCUCGUCCUCACCCACCGCCGCUCCCUCCAACCACCUCCUCCUCCUUCCGAUGGGUCACCGGAUCCGUCGGCCACCCCAUGGACUUCGCCUGGAAAACGCGGGCUGGGAGAGAGAGCGCGGGCGGGCGGUAGAGGGUGGCGGGCGCCGAUGUCGCAGUCGAGGGGGAGCAGGGCCAGUCGGCCGGAGCUGGAGGCCGGCGCUGGAGGAAGGAGCGGCGAGGAGAGAGGCGCCGGCCAUCGGGGACCUCCUAGCCCUCUUCUCCUUGUCGCCAUGGCAGGUGGAGCUCGAGCCAUCGGUCAGCCUCCCCCUCCCCAUGCGUAGAACAAUGUGUGCAGAUCUGUAAAAGAAGAGAAGAGGAAGAAUCCCAAGGAAGAGUUUGGUGAAGAAGAAUAAGGUGACUAUGUGAGUUGCAUUGACAGAAUCCAUGUAUUAAGCUGGAGCAUUUUUGGCAGCUGCAGCAACCUGACAAUUCAUUUGUUCUCAUACAAGAUGCUUGUGAAGUACAUGGGGAAGGCGCGCAUGGUUGAUGAUUAUGUUCUGGAUUGGAGGCCGAAGCAAACUCCGUCAGGUUUCAGAUAAUUACUUCAGGUUAGGCGGGAGAAAUAAAAAGGGUAACCAUAGAUAUAUGGUGUAGCAUCAUGAGGUUCAGGUUCCUGCUGUUGAUCAACCGUUGCUUCGGUCGAGUGCGAACCCGGAUCAGUUGCUGCUCCAAACCAGACAAUUUGGAGGAUGAACGCGAGUCUCCCAGCGAUGCCAUGGUUAGCACUGUUCUUUCAGUUGUCUCUGUUUCAAACCAUACAAUUCAUUUAGGCAAAAUACUGGAGACACUAUCAUUCAUACUGUAUUUGGCAUGGUAGUGGACAGUCAGAACCUUACGGUCUUGCAACAUCCUCAGAAUAAAUAUUCUGCUCCAAUCAGGUUCUAUGUAUAUUCUGUUAUCCACGGUUUAUCUCAGAAACGAGGAUUUCAUAUUACACAAGUGAAGAAUCCUUGAGAAAUGUUUAUGGCAAAUGUCAACCGUAAGUCCGCACAAGACAUAAGUGAUCCCCAAAUGGUGAACAGUGCCAUUCUACAAAAUAAAAUGUCUGCAGAACAAAAAGGACCCUGAACAAUUUCUGGAAUUUUUGUGUUCCUUUAUUUGUUACUCCUCUGCACUACAUCAAUUUUUCCAGGCUCGUUUUGCUUUCAAGUCUGAUGCGCGUGUUUUUUCUCAUAUAUAUAGGAAGAAGAAAGUAUUCGCUCCAGACGUAGAUGUCUAGCUUGCCUGUGUGCUGUAACAUUAAUCAGUGCAUCGGGCCCAAAGUUUUCUAUCAUUGGAACCUUGAUGAUUUAUCUCAUUUGAACAUAAUCUAACCCCUCUGAUUUUUUUCAGUACAUAAUUGUACACCUUCUAUGCCCCGCUUAAUUGUGUGUUCAUUUUGUUAAUCAAGAAGCAUCUGAUUUUAUGGCUGGCGUGGUGCUCCAGCGCGACCGCUUCGUGUGCUGCCUCGAGUCGCAUGGCCACCAUGCCCGCGCCGAGGCGAAGGCUGCUGCCACUCUCAACGCCCUCUGCUGCGCGCUCUCGCCGGCGGCGUUUGCAAAGCCUUGUCGUGGCGCUGCAAGUGUUGCCCCCCUCCUCCCCAAGGGCAAGGUGAAGGAAGGUGCAUGUGUGGUUCUUCAGCAGCUCGCAGCGAGGAUUGCUGUGUCCAACAUGCAGAAGUAUGCCAAGAAGUUCUCGGAGAUGUAAGCCACGACACAUUUUUCUGCCAUGAUUUCCUUCGGUUGGAUUUCGUGGAUUUAGGUGUUGGAAAAUUAUGGGUUGUGGAUGCAGGAUUAAGGACAUAUCCCCGCACUACAACGAGAGAUCUGAGCUGUUUGGAAGUUAGUUUAGGUUUUUGUUGUGGAUUCACAGCUUCUCACAUGUAUGAUCCUCUUAGACCUUUAGAUUUCCAAAGAAACUAAAUGAAGAUAUGGUGGUAUGGUCUCAAUAGUACAACUUAAAGCCUUCCAUGUUUUAUAUUUUCUUUGAAAUUUGCUCUUGAAGAAUUAUGUAUCUAUGUUAGAUCCGGUGAGAAAAGGCGGCUUUCAAGUAGAGGUUGCU